AUACGUAGGUGGCAAGCGUUGUCCGGAUUUACUGGGUGUAAAGGGCGUGUAGGCGGAGAUGCAAGUCAGGAGUGAAAUCUAGGGGCUCAACCCCUAAACUGCUUUUGAAACUGUAUCCCUUGAGUAUCGGAGAGGCAGGCGGAAUUCCUAGUGUAGCGGGGAAAUGCGUAGAUAUUAGGGGGAAAACCAGUGGCGAAGGCGGCCUGCUGGACGACAACUGACGCUGAGGCGCGAAAGCGUGGGGAGAAAACAGGAUUAGAUACCCUGGUAGUCCACGUUGUAAACGAUGAAUACUAGGUGUGGGGGGACUGACCCCCUCCGUGCCGCAGUUAACACAAUAAGUAUUCCACCUGGGGAGUACGAUCGCAAGAUUGAAACUCAAAGGAAUUGACGGGG
rnacentral:rRNA from 1 species